rnacentral:ncRNA from 19 species
UGGAAUGGCUACGGGUAUCUUUGUCGCGAUGCAUUUCUUGGACUUGUUGGCUGUCGAAAUCACGGUUGACUCGGACGAGGGACGCAGAGGACCGGCAAGGAUUGAGAUCAUACCGUCUGAACCUGAACAGCGCUCAUACCUGCGUAGGGAAGCCCCCCAGUGUCACC